UACGGAGGGGGCUAGCGUUGUUCGGAAUUACUGGGCGUAAAGGGCUCGUAGGCGGCCAACUAAGUCGGACGUGAAAUCCCUCGGCUUAACUGGGGAACUGCGUCCGAUACUGGAUGGCUUGGAUUUGGGAGAGGGAUGCGGAAUUCCAGGUGUAGCGGUGAAAUGCGUAGAUAUCUGGAGGAACACCGGUGGCGAAGGCGGCAUCCUGGACCGGCAUUGACGCUGAGGCGCGAAAGCCAGGGGAGCAAACGGG
rnacentral:rRNA from 1 species